rnacentral:misc_RNA from 1 species
GGGUUGGCUGCACUUGGACAGCAACUUCACGCAUUAGGAUUUAUAGACACCCCAAAGAUAGACCUUGGUGCACCUUUAGCUGAUGAAUUGAUGGGAUUUUAUGAAAGGAUGGGUGACACUUUAGCACAUCAAUAUGGUGGGUCAGCUGCACAUAAUAAGAUAUUCUCUCAGAGAAGGGGUCAUUGGAAAGCAGCAAUCCAGUCCCAGGAGUUCUUCAGAACUCUUC